rnacentral:lncRNA from 1 species
GGGUAGUUUCUUUACCUUUCUACCUUAGUCUUCUCAGCCACACACACACACACACACACACACACACACACACACACACACACACUUAGUUUCUAACCACUUCGGCAGCCUAUAAAUCAGGAUUCACUGAAAUACCUAGGAUAGUGCUUGACACACAGUAGGUGCUACAAGAAGUGUUAGUUUUCCUUCCCUGUUGCUGUGGGUUUAAUAGAUAUGCUGUUUACUUAAAUAUGUGAUUGGUUUUCUACAUCUUUUUUUUUUCCAGACCUAUUCCAUGGCAGUAUAUCUUGUAAAACAGUUGUCCUCAACAGUUCUUCUUCAGAGGUUACGAGCAAAGGGAAUAAGGAAUCCGGAUCAUUCUAGAGCUUUAAGUACGUAUGAUAAACUUAAUUCAUAUCUGUAGCUAAACUAUCUUGUUAAGGUUAGAGUAGUGGUUUUUUUCUCAACUCAAAUUCUAGUGUUUCUUUUGGUUUUGUUUUGUUUACCAGAGCUUGUUGUUAUAGAGGAUUACAAACUCCAAGAACCUAGUAUUGUGAGCUUGUAAAUUAAGAUCUAAGGGCAGUUUUAAUGUCUUUGCCAUGAACUAUAUUUAAUGAUCUGUGUUUUACAGAUCUUAAUAUUUACUUUGUAAGGUUACUUCUUGAACACAGUAUUUUUUUUUUACAGCGUCUGAAAACCAAUGUUUAAGGAAUUUUAGGAGAUGGAAAGGAAAUCUUGGCAUGAAUUCCAAGAACGUUAUUAUGGUUUUCAAGAAUAUUUUAGACCCAGGAAAAAUACACAGAAUUAUAUGAUGACUGUCCCCUUGCUUUUACCAAAGUCAAAAGUCAGUCAAGUGGCAGACAUGAAUGUUACCUUGGGCACAGUUCUUCAUUUCUUGAUGCCUUCUUACCCUUGUUUGUAAUGAUAGGUUUGUAACACGUGAUUUUUAAAGAGUAUUUUUUGAGAAUUUGAUCUGUGCAAUCUCACACACACACACAGCUCCCCUCUGAAUGUUUCAUUUUAAUGUAUUAAAAUGAAAAUGUAAGAUCUAAAAGUGGACUUCCUGGCUUCAAGUUUUGAGCAUCAGUGCUUUUCUAAAGAGGUGGGCUUCUCCAGAGGUGUGGGCUCCUUGGAGGAGAAUUUGGAGGUAGAGGUUUGGUGCUUAGGAAGCAGCGCAUUGCACUCGGGAGCAUGAUGGACUGACCUUGAUUCUGUAGCUUAGGCCGGCUUCAAACUUGCUGUGAUCCUCCUGCUUCAUGUGCUGGGCUUACAGGCUGAACUGCCACACCCUGAACCUGCAUGGGAAGCUCUUAAGAUGACUUACUAAUAGCAGCUCAUUCUCAGAUUUGUUGUUAAUCAGAUUUGUUCCCACACUCUGGUGGGAAGAAUUAAGAUACUAAGGCCAACUUCCUCAUAGCUCCCCUGCAACACAGCUCCUGGUCUUUCUCCACCGUGUUUCUGUAGCAGAGUGACCAAACUAGAAGAUCUCACUAUCUCUGGCAAACAGAACACCUGAGAUAGUUCACUGGAGGUUUUUUUCAGUACUGAAAGGAUCCUUUUUUGAAAAUGCAAAUAGCUGGGUAUGGCGGUACACACCUGUAUCCCUAGCUACUCAGUGGGCUGAGGCAGGAGGAUCAUUUGAACUAAGAGUCAAAAUUGGAGCUAAAAUGAAAGCAUCAUUUGUGGGUCUAAGGAAAUGGAGGCAUCAUGAGUCGGAGACAAGAAAGAAAGGGUCCUGACAAGAGAAGAAGGGGUAGACAUCUGCCUGAAGGGAAUGUGCAAGAGAGGCAUCCUUUUUUUUCAAAGCCUCGAUGGAGUUAUCCCUGACUGAGUCUUUAUUCUUGCCUUGCAUUACUAGAUCACAGCUAGUCAGAAAACAUGGAAUUGUGUGGUAACUGUGGUGAAAAAGACAAAUAC